rnacentral:tRNA from 1 species
GCACCCUUAGCUCAGCUGGAUAGAGCGUCGGUCUACGGAACCGAAGGUCAUACGUUCGAAUCGUAUAGGGUGCA